rnacentral:rRNA from 1 species
UACAGAGGGUGCGAGCGUUGCCCGGAUUUAUUGGGCGUAAAGGGCGCGUAGGCGGUCACGCACGUCCGUUGUGAAAUCGCUCGGCUCAACUGGGCGGGGUCAGCGGAUACGGCGUGGCUGGAGCAAGCUAGGGGGCAAUGGAAUUCCCGGUGUAGUGGUGGAAUGCGUAGAUAUCUGGAGGAAUACCGGUGGCGAAGGCGGCAUCCUGGACCGGCAUUGACGCUGAGGAGCGAAAGCCAGGGGAGCAAACGGG